GGGAAAACCAGGCGGGAUGACAGGGAUGAGGAAGCUUUCCUUACCGCUUUGCCGUUGUAGUAGUACAUGAGAGAGCUGCCCGUCAUUCCUGGGAUGGUGUAGGCACAGUACAUGGUUCCGGUCCUCGGCAGACAGACGCGCUGGCAGGCUCCCAGCAUUGUACCCGACCCGGCUGCAUGGGGAACCAAAGCAGAGGAGAACACAGAGAGAGGAGGGCAUAUUCCACCAAAACAGGAAAAAAAGAGCACCCUGGGGUCAAAGGGCAUCGUCUGACGAUGGACUGAAAGUCUGAGGAGGAGAACGAAGACUAGACUAGAGGACCGGAGGAGAGAAAAAGACACAAUGAGGAAAAAAGUUUGUCUUGUUCUUCGAUGUGAAAACACGAAAUAAAAAUGUCCCAACAAGUCAA